rnacentral:rRNA from 1 species
GUCUUAGGCCAUAUCACCCUGAACACACCAGAUCUCCGAAGCUAAGCAGGGUUGGGCCUGGUUAGUACUUGUAUGGGAGAAUGUAACAACUAAAACA